UUUUCUGAAUCAGAGCAGAGAGAAUUAGAACAAAAAAAUUCUAUUUUAUUAACAGCAAUUCAUAUGAAUUCCACCACUUGAACCAGUGUUUUAUUUUCUGUUAAUAAAAAUCGAUUUUGACAAAAAUCUGAUUCCGUUUUCUCGCCCCGACCCCGCAUCUUUUCUCUUCCCUGCUUUGCUGCAAGCGGCUCCAAUGCCAUAAAUUAGGUGGGAAUGUGGAAAUGACAACGAGGGAAAAAAAGGGACACGAGAAUGGCUCUAAUGGAACCCACAAAUUUGCAGGUUUGGGUUGGUUUUUCAUUGUUUUUUUUGGAAUAUGACAGCAUCCUUUUAGGAAUAAGGGGUUUUGCUUAAUAAACAGCCAUUGUGGGCUAUUUUUUCUGUAUCAGAGCAGAGAGAAUUAGAACAAAAAAAAAUUCUAUUAACAGCAAUUCAUAUGAAUUCCACCACUUGAACCAGUGUUUUAUUUUCUGUUAAUAAAAAUCGAUUUUGACAAAAAAUCUGAUUCCGUUUUCUCGCCCCGACCCCACAUCUUUUCUCUUCCCUGCUUUGCUGCAAGCGGCCCCAGAUGCCAUAAAUUAGGUGGGAAUGUGGAAAUGACAACGAGGGAAA